AUAAUGCUGACUAAAAGGAAAAUUCAGUUUAGGGUUUAAAACCCUAAUGCUGACUAAAAAAGAAAAUUCAGUUUAGGGUUUAAAACCCUAAUGCUGAUUGCAUGAAAAAGCUCAGUUUAGAGUUUUAAAAACUCUAAUGCUAGCUGAAAGGAAAGGGUUCAGUUUAGGGUUUAAAACCCUAAUGCUGACUAGAAGGAAAAAGUUCAGUUUAGGGUUUAAAACCCUAAUGCUGACCAAAAGGAAAAUUCAGUUUAGGGUUUAAAACCCUAAUGCUGACUAAAAGGAAAAUUCAGUUUAGGGUUUAAAACCCUAAUGCUGACUAAAAGGAAAAUUCAGUUUAGGGUUUAAAACCCUAAUGCUGAUUGCAUGAAAAAGCUCAGUUUAGAGUUUAAAACUCUAAUGCUGGCUGAAAGGAAAAUUCAGUUUAGGGUUUAAAACCCUAAUGCUGAUUGCAUGAAAAAGCUCAGUUUAGAGUUUAAAACUCUAAUGCUGGCUGAAAGGAAAAUUCAGUUUAGGGUUUAAAACCCUAAUGCUGAUGGCAUGGAAAAGCUCAGUUUAGAGUUUAAAACUCUAAUGCUGGCUGAAAGGAAAAUUCAGUUUAGGGUUUAAAACCCUAAUGCUGAUUGCAUGGAAAAGCUCAGUUUAGAGUUUAAAACUCUAAUGCUGGCUGAAAGGAAAAUUCAGUUUAGGGUUUAAAACCCUAAUGCUGAUGGCAUGGAAAAGCUCAGUUUAGAGUUUAAAACUCUAAUGCUGGCUGAAAGGAAGAGUUCAGUUUAGGG
rnacentral:lncRNA from 1 species